CAGACCUCUAAUCGGAAAAGACUACCCGCUGAGUUUAAGCAUAUCACUAAGCGGAGGA
rnacentral:rRNA from 7 species